rnacentral:rRNA from 1 species
CCCCCCCCGUUUUUGACGUGGGCGGUUGGUUUUUGCUGAGCGGUUUUUGAACACGUGUCCUCCCAGACCGAUAGUGAACAAGUAGAGUGAUCGAAAGAUGAAAAGCACUUUGAAAAGAGAGUUAAACAGCACGUGAAAUUGUUGAAAGGGGAGCGCUUGGGUCUAGACUGGCCCACGGGGUUCUGCCGGCAUUCGUGCCGGUGUACUUCGCCGCGGGCGGGCCAGCGUCGGUUUGGGCGGCCGGUCAAAGGCCCUCGGAAUGUAUCGCCCCCCGGGGCGUCUUAUAGCCGAGGGUGUCAUGUUUCCAGCCCAUACCGAGGAAUUUGAUU